rnacentral:rRNA from 1 species
AACGACGAAAACCUUACCUACCCUUGACAUGUCCGGAAUCCCGAAGAGAUUUGGGAGUGCUCGAAAGAGAACCUGCACACAAGUGCUGCAUGGCUGUCGUCAGCUCGUGUCGUGAGAUGUUGGGUUAAGUCCCGCAACGAGCGCAACCCUUGCCAUUAGUUGCUACGAAAGGGCACUCUAAUGGGACUGCCGGUGACAAACCGGAGGAAGGUGGGGAUGACGUCAAGUCCUCAUGGCCCUUAUAGGUGGGGCUACACACGUCAUACAAUGGCCGGUACAGAGGGUAGCCAACCCGCGAGGGGGAGCCAAUCCCACAAAGCCGGUCGUAGUCCGGAUCGCAGUCUGCAACUCGACUGCGUGAAGUCGGAAUCGCUAGUAAUCGCGGAUCAGCAUGUCGCGGUGAAUACGUUCCCGGGUCUC